AAGGCACCGUUGAGUAAGCUUAGAAGUGGCUGAGUCUCUGAGUUUGCUAUAGCUAGAAAGUCUAACCUAUUCCGGUGUUCUCUUCCUCAUGAGACAAGCUGUUAUAUAGGCUCAAACAUU